rnacentral:rRNA from 1 species
UACGUAGGGUGCAGGCGUUAAUCGGAAUUACUGGGCGUAAAGCGUGCGCAGGCGGUUUGCUAAGACAGGUGUGAAAUCCCCGGGCUUAACCUGGGAACUGCGCUUGUUACUGGCAGGCUUGAGUGUGGCAGAGGGGGGUGGAAUUCCACGUGUAGCAGUGAAAUGCGUAGAGAUGUGGAGGAACACCGAUGGCGAAGGCAGCCCCCUGGACUAACACUGACGCUCAUGCACGAAAGCGUGGGGAGCAAACAGG